rnacentral:sRNA from 1 species
GCUGGGCGCAGUGGCACACACCUGUCAUCCCAGCAGCUCGGGAGGCUGAGGCAGGAGGAUCUUGAGUUCAGAGCCAGCCUCAGCAAAAGUGAGGCUUUGAGCAACUCAGUGAGACCCUGUCUCUA